rnacentral:ribozyme from 1 species
UUUUUUUCUUUUCUUUUUGUGGUGUGGAACUUUCUUAUUUCUUUUUCCAAUGUGUGAGGUUUGAUGGGGAUAGUGAGGAAGAGGGCAGGGAACCAGGUUGUUCAAAGCCCA